rnacentral:tRNA from 1 species
UAAAAAAUAAGCUAAUAAAGCUAAUGGGUUCAUGCCCCAUCUAUGUAGGUUAUACUCCUGCUUUUUUAA